rnacentral:rRNA from 1 species
AGAGUUUGAUCCUGGCUCAGGAUGAACGCUGGCGGCGUGCCUAAUACAUGCAAGUCGAACGAGAUGUUUACGUCGAGUGGCGAACGGGUGAGUAAUACAUAAGUAACCUACCCUAAACUGGGGGAUAACUAUUGGAAACCAUAUCUAACACCGCAUAGGUAUACAGUACCCAUGUGCCGUAUAUUAAAAAUGCUUUCGGGCGUUGGUAAAGGAUGGACUUAUGGCGCAUUAGCUAUUUGGUAGGGUAACGGCCUACCAAGGCGACGAUGCGUAACCAACCUGAGAGGGUGACCGGCCACACUGGGACUGAGACACGGCCCAGACUCCUACGGGAGGCAGCAGUAGGGAAUUUUCGGCAAUGGGGGAAACCCUGACCGAGCAACGCCGCGUGAAGGAAGAAGGUCUUCGGAUUGUAAACUUCUGUUAUAAAGGAAGAACGAGAUAUGCAGGAAAUGGUAUAUCACUGACGGUACUUUAUGAGGAAGCCACGGCUAACUACGUGCCAGCAGCCGCGGUAAUACGUAUGUGGCAAGCGUUAUCCGGAAUUAUUGGGCGUAAAGAGGGAGCAGGCGGCUAUAAAGGUCUGUGGUGAAAGACUGAAGCUCAACUUCAGUAAGCCAUGGAAACCAAAUAGCUAGAGUGCAUUAGAGGAUCGUGGAAUUCCAUGUGUAGCGGUGAAAUGCGUAGAUAUAUGGAGGAACACCAGUGGCGAAGGCGACGAUCUGGGAUGUAACAGACGCUGAGUCCUGAAAGCGUGGGGAGCAAAUAGGAUUAGAUACCCUAGUAGUACCAYGCCAGUARACGAUGAGUAUAAGUGUUGGGAGUCAAAUUCAUGGCCACAUUUAACGCAAUAAGUACUCCGCGUGAGUAGUACGUUGGCGAGAAUGAAACUCAAAGGAAUUGACGAGGCCCGCACAAGCGGUGGAGCAUGUGGUGUAAUUCGAAGCAACGCGAAGAACCUUAUCAGGUCUCGACAUACGGAUAAAGUAUGCAGAGAUGCGGAGAUAGUUAUAUCCGAUACAGGUGGUGCAUCGUAGUGGUCAGCUGCAGUCAUGAGAUGAUGGAUUAAGUCCCGCAACGAGCGCAACCCUAAUCGUUAGUUACCAUCAUUAAGUUGGGGACUUAAGCGAGAUGGCCAGUCACAAUUUGGAGGAAGACGGGGAGGACGUCAAAUCAUCAUGCCCAUUAGGACUUGGUCUACCCACGGGCUCCAAUGGACGGAGCAGAGGGAAGUGAACCUGUGAAGGCAAGCAAAACCCAGAAAACCUUUCUCAUUUCCGCUGGUAGUAUGCAACUCCAUUACAUGAACUAGGAAUCGAUAGUAAUCGCGAAUCAGAACGUCGCGGGGAUCACGUUCUCGGCCGAUGUACACUCCGCCCGUCACACCAGGAGAGUUGAUAACACCCGAAGCCGGUGUCUUAACCUGUUUCCAGGAAGGAGCUAUUUAAGGUGGGAUUGAUGAUUAGGGUCAAGUCGUAACAAGGUAACC